rnacentral:rRNA from 1 species
GAUGAACGCUGACAGAAUGCUUAACACAUGCAAGUCAACUGUGGCGGACGGGUGAGUAACGCGUAAAGAACUUGCCUCACAGAUAGGGACAACAUUUGGAAACGAAUGCUAAUACCUGAUACUGUGAGAGAGUUUUGCGUCCCCUUAGCUAGUUGGAGAGGUAACGGAUCCCCAAGGCGAUGAUGGGUAGCCGGCCUGAGAGGGUGAUCGGCCACAAGGUGACUGAGCCACGGCCCUUACUCCUACGGGAGGCAGCAGUGUGGACUAUUGGACAAUGGACCAAAGUCUGAUCCAGCAAUUCUGUUUGCACGAUGAAGUUUUCGGAAUGUAAAGUGCUUUCAGUUGGGAAGCAGUACCAACAGAAUAAGUGACGGCUAAAUACGUGCCAGCGGCCGCGGUAAUAC